rnacentral:rRNA from 1 species
GAUCCAGCUUGCUGGAUGCUGACGAGCGGCGGACGGGUGAGUAAUGCAUAGGAAUCUGCCCGGUAGUGGGGGAUAACCUGGGGAAACCCAGGCUAAUACCGCAUACGUCCUACGGGAGAAAGGGGGCUUCGGCUCCCGCUAUCGGAUGAGCCUAUGUCGGAUUAGCUAGUUGGUGAGGUAACGGCUCACCAAGGCCACGAUCCGUAGCUGGUCUGAGAGGAUGAUCAGCCACAUCGGGACUGAGACACGGCCCGAACUCCUACGGGAGGCAGCAGUGGGGAAUAUUGGACAAUGGGGGGAACCCUGAUCCAGCCAUGCCGCGUGUGUGAAGAAGGCCCUCGGGUUGUAAAGCACUUUCAGCGAGGAAGAACGCCUAGCGGUUAAUACCCGCUAGGAAAGACAUCACUCGCAGAAGAAGCACCGGCUAACUCCGUGCCAGCAGCCGCGGUAAUACGGAGGGUGCAAGCGUUAAUCGGAAUUACUGGGCGUAAAGCGCGCGUAGGUGGCUUGAUAAGCCGGUUGUGAAAGCCCCGGGCUCAACCUGGGAACGGCAUCCGGAACUGUCAAGCUAGAGUGCAGGAGAGGAAGGUAGAAUUCCCGGUGUAGCGGUGAAAUGCGUAGAGAUCGGGAGGAAUACCAGUGGCCGAAGCGGCCCUUCUGGACUGACACUGACCACUGAUGUGCGACAGCGUGGUAGCAAACAGGAUUAGAUACCCUGGUAGUCCACGCCGUAAACGAUG